AGAGUUUGAUCCUGGCUCAGGACGAACGCUGGCGGUGUGCUUCACACAUGCAAGUCGAACGGAGUAGCAAUACUCAGUGGCGGACGGGUGAGUAACACGUGGGAAUCUACCAUUAGGUGGGGAAUAACAGGCCGAAAGGACUGCUAAUGCCGCAUAUGUAGGCAUCUCGACAGAGAUGUUUAUGAAAGGAGUAAUCCGCCUUUUGAUGAGCCCGCGUCUGAUUAGCUAGUUGGUAGGGUAGAAGCCUACCAAGGCGACGAUCGGUAGGUGGUCUGAGAGGAUGAUCACCCACAAUGGGACUGAGACACGGCCCAUACUCCUACGGGAGGCAGCAGUGGGGAAUUUUACGCAAUGGGGGAAACCCUGACGUAGCGACACCGCGUGAGCGAAGAAGCCUUUGGGGUGUAAAGCUCUGUCAACAGGAACGAAACAAAUGACGGUACCUGUGGAGGAAGCAUCGGCUAACUACGUGCCAGCAGCCGCGGUAAGACGUAGGAUGCAAGCGUUGUCCGGAUUUAUUGGGCGUAAAGAGUUCGUAGGCGGUUUGUUAAGUCUGAUGUUAAAGACCGGGGCUCAACCUCGGAAAUGCAUUGGAUACUGGCAGACUGGAGUGCAGUAGAGGCUAGUGGAAUUCCCAGUGUAGCGGUGAAAUGCGUAGA
rnacentral:rRNA from 1 species